UUUUAGCAGUUUUUUGAUGCAGGCUGCUUCCAGCUGCAUGGUCAGAUGGGAGAAAUUUCCCUGUCCCCACGUGCGUCUGGUGAGGGGAGGUUUUGCAUGGAUGGCACACAGGACUUCUAGCACGCUGCGGUCAGGAUCGCGCAGGCCAAUUACCUGAAGAACGGAGCGAUCCCAUCUCAGAGUUCGCGGGAGGCAUGUAAUUGCUUAGUGAGAGACAAGAAAUUGUUUUACAAGAACAAAUGCUGGUUGCCAUGGUUUCCAAGAGGCAGAAACUCCAAGGUCAUUCCCUGAAAAUUCUUCACCAUUGAUGCCAGCAGCGAGGAGACUCCCCCACGGAGUUACCCUCCCUCGCCUCUGGAGGACAAUGGCAGACUCAAUGAAAUAGCUUCAUCAGAAUCUACUGGGCAAAGCCCGUCUAUUUCAGCUGAAAUUAAUCAUUUCCCUGGGAAUAUAUACUGGCCAUGUCCCCAGCGUGUGCACAGCCUGCACUCCCAAGAUAUCAGGUGGCCAAAUGAAGACACAGCUCAGCCUUGCUUGUUGGGAUAUGUUCUGCUUAGCCUGAACCAUGCGCUGAACAGUAGGAAGAAAUACUUCAUCAUUACCUAAAACCUAAAGAGCUGUGGAAGA